ACGGCUGAUCUGGUUCCGGAUCGCAUCUUCGUCAGUCAUCGUCUGUUUCUCUAGCAGAUCGAGAGGGAGGAAGGCGUGAUGAAUCUCGACGGCGAGGACCGCCACCUGCGUGGCGUUGUGAGGUGCAAUCGAGUCGGGCAAUGACGCUCUGUGA
rnacentral:misc_RNA from 1 species